CGGCGAGUGAAGCGGGAAGAGCUCAAAUUUGAAAUCUUAAAGGGUUUCCCUUUACGAAUUGUAGUUUAAAGAAGUGUUUUCUGUUGAGGUUUUGGUAAAAGUUCUUUGGAAUAGGACAUCAUAGAGGGUGAGAAUCCCGUAUUUGACCUUUACUUUCAACUUUGUGAUACACUUUCAAAGAGUCGGAUUGUUUGGGAAUGCAGUCCAAAAUGGGUGGUAAAUUUCAUCUAAAGCUAAAUAUUGGCGAGAGACCGAUAGCGAACAAGUACCGUGAGGGAAAGAUGAAAAGAACUUUGAAAAGAGAGUUAAACAGUACGUGAAAUUGUCAAAAGGGAAGCGUUUGACACCAGUGUUGUUUUUCUGAAAAUCAAUUAAAGAACUGUUUAUGCUAAGUUGUUUAGACUUUAUCAGCUAACUGUUUAGUUUUGAGCUUUUCUUUAAUGCACUUUUCAGUUAACAAGUCAACAUCAAUUUCUUUUGCUGUAAAAAAGCUUGAGGAAGGUGGCUUGAGAUUCGUCUUAAGUGUUUAUAGCCUCUUGCCUAUGCAGUCGGAGAGAUUGAGGUCUGCAGCGUAGAUCCUUCGGGGCUAAAUGCAUUUGUGCUAAGUUAUAGCAUUUUAUAGACAACUUGUUGACUAUGAUUUGUCUUGUAGCUUACUCGCUUAUGUUAUUUUACCUACGCUUAGGAUGUUGACAAAAUGGUUUUAAACGACCCGUCUCCGGGGGG
rnacentral:rRNA from 1 species